UCCUGCCGGACCUGACUGCUAUCGGAUUGAUACUAAGCCAUGCGAGUCAUUGUAGCAAUACAAGGCAGACGGCUCAGUAACGCGUAGUCAACCUACCCUAUGGACGGGAAUAACCUCGGGAAACUGAGUAUAAUGCCCGAUAGAACAUUAUGCCUGGAAGGGUUUAUGUUCCAAAUGAUUUAUCGCCGUAGGAUGGGACUGCGGCCUAUCAGUUUGUUGGUGAGGUAAUGGCCCACCAAGACUAUUACAGGUACGGGCUCUGAGAGGAGUAGCCCGGAGAUGGGUACUGAGACACGGACCCAGGCCCUAUGGGGCGCAGCAGGCGAGAAAACUUUGCAAUGUGCGAAAGCACGACAAGGUUAAUCCGAGUGAUUUCUGCUAAAGAAAUCUUUUGCCAGUCAUAAAACCACUGGUGAAUAAGGGGUGGGCAAGUUCUGGUGUCAGCCGCCGCGGUAAAACCAGCACCUCAAGUGGUCAGGAUGAUUAUUGGGCCUAAAGCAUCCGUAGCCGGCUUUGUAAGUUUUCGGUUAAAUCCAUGUGCUCAACGCAUGGGCUGCCGAAAAUACUGCAUGGCUAGGGAGUGGGAGAGGUAGACGGUACUCAGUAGGAAGGGGUAAAAUCCUUUGAUCUAUUGAUGACCGCCUGUGGCGAAGGCGGUCUACCAGAACACGUUCGACGGUGAGGGAUGAAAGCUGGGGGAGCAAACCGGAUUAGAUACCCGGGUAGUCCCAGCUGUAAACGAUGCAGACUCGAUGAUGCAUUGGCAUAAUAGCCAGUGCAGUGUCGCAGGGAAGCCGUUAAGUCUGCCGCCUGGGAAGUACGUACGCAAGUAUGAAACUUAAAGGAAUUGGCGGGGGAGCACCACAAGGGGUGAAGCCUGCGGUUCAA
rnacentral:rRNA from 1 species